GUAUAGAAAGAGGUGUAGUGAAGGAAUGAUUGUGGUAUAGAAAGAGGUGUAGUAAAGGAGUGAUAGUGGUAUAGAAAGAGGUGUAGUGAAGGAAUGAUAGUGGUAUAGAAAGAGGUGUAGUGAAGGAGUGAUAGUGGUAUCGAAAGAGGUGUAGUAAAGGAGCGAUAGUGAUAUAUAAAGAGGUGUAGUGAAGGAGUGAUAGUGGUAUAGAAAGAGGUGCAGUAAAGGAGUGAUAGUGAUAUAUAAAGAGGUGUAGUGAAGGAGUGAUAGUGGUAUAUAAAGAGGUGUGGUGAAGGAGUGAUAGUGGUAUAGAAAGAGAUGUAGUAAAGGAGUGAUAGUGGUAUAAAAAGAGGUGUAGUAAAGGAGCGAUAGUGAUAUAUAAAGAGGUGUAGUGAAGGAGUGAUAGUGGUAUAUAAAGAGGUGUAGUAAAGGAGUGAUAGUGGUAUAGAAAGAGGUGUAGUAAAGGAGUGAUAGUGGUAUAAAAAGAG